AGACAGAGGGUGCAAGCGUUAAUCGGAAUUACUGGGCGUAAAGCGCGCGUAGGUGGUUCAGUAAGUUGGAAGUGAAAUCCCCGGGCUCAACCUGGGAACUGCUUUCAAAACUGCUGAGCUAGAGUACGGUAGAGGGUGGUGGAAUUUCCUGUGUAGCGGUGAAAUGCGUAGAUAUAGGAAGGAACACCAGUGGCGAAGGCGACCACCUGGACUGAUACUGACACUGAGGUGCGAAAGCGUGGGGAGC
rnacentral:rRNA from 1 species